UUACAUGUAUGUAAGGAUUGAGAUUGAAAAAUUUAUCAAAAAUUAUGUGAGCAUCAAAGAUCUAGUAAUUAAUCAGAAUCAAAGCAAACCUAUGGGCAGUGUAAGUUAUGUUAUAAAGUACGAACUCAUAUUUAUACUUUACAUUGCUAGAAAGAUAAGUAUUCGUAUUGUUUAUCUUCUCAUGAUUAAAACUCUUACAAAGAUACAUUUGAGCAUUAAUCGAUGCUAUAAGUACGGUAUCUUUCA
rnacentral:lncRNA from 1 species